rnacentral:tRNA from 1 species
GCCUCUUUGGCCAAGUGGUAAGGCAUCGCACUCGUAAUGCGGGGAUCGCCGGUUCAAUUCCGGCAGGAGGCA